CCUACGGCGCAGCAGUGGGGAAUAUUGGACAAUGGGCGAAAGCCUGAUCCAGCCAUGCCGCGUGUGUGAAGAAGGCCUUCGGGUUGUAAAGCACUUUCAGUGGGGAAGAAAGCCUUGGGGCUAAUACCCUCGAGGAAGGACAUCACCCACAGAAGAAGCACCGGCUAACUCCGUGCCAGCAGCCGCGGUAAUACGGAGGGUGCGAGCGUUAAUCGGAAUUACUGGGCGUAAAGCGCGCGUAGGCGGUCUGAUAAGCCGGUUGUGAAAGCCCCGGGCUCAACCUGGGAACGGCAUCCGGAACUGUCAGGCUAGAGUGCAGGAGAGGAAGGUAGAAUUCCCGGUGUAGCGGUGAAAUGCGUAGAGAUCGGGAGGAAUACCAGUGGCGAAGGCGGCCUUCUGGACUGACACUGACGCUGAGGUGCGAAAGCGUGGGUAGCAAACAGGAUUAGAUACCCGUGUAGUC
rnacentral:rRNA from 1 species